CCUACGGGUGGCAGCAGUGGGGAAUAUUGCACAAUGGGGGAAACCCUGAUGCAGCGACGCCGCGUGAGUGAAGAAGUAUUUCGGUACGUAAAGCUCUAUCAGCAGGGAAGAAAAUGACGGUACCUGACUAAGAAGCCCCGGCUAACUACGUGCCAGCAGCCGCGGUAAUACGUAGGGGGCAAGCGUUAUCCGGAUUUACUGGGUGUAAAGGGAGCGUAGACGGCAGCGCAAGUCUGGAGUGAAAUCCCAUGGCUUAACCAUGGAACUGCUUUGGAAACUGUGCAGCUAGAGUGCAGGAGAGGUAAGCGGAAUUCCGAGUGUAGCGGUGAAAUGCGUAGAUAUUAGGAGGAACACCAGUGGCGAAGGCGGCUUACUGGACUGUAACUGACGUUGAGGCUCGAAAGCGUGGGGAGCAAACAGGAUGAGAUACCCGAGUAGUC
rnacentral:rRNA from 1 species